CGGAAACGUAGAUCAAGAUAAAGUGGAGGCAGAGGUGGAGGAUAACGUCUCUGGAGAAGAAGAACCCCACAAUCAACGGGUCCCUACCUUAUUUGGAUUACCUGGUCCUAGUGGAGAGGCAAAUAUAUCAGAGAACAAUUUUGAUUUUAAUGGCCGCAAAAAGGACAGAGAAAAUGAUGCAUUAGCUGGGAAUAGAAAAUUUGAUGUUGAAAAAUGGAUCCAAGAAAAAACAUUUUCCCGGG
rnacentral:misc_RNA from 1 species